GGGGGCAUAGCUCAGCUGGGAGAGCACCUGCCUUGCAAGCAGGGGGUCAGCGGUUCGAUCCCGCUUGUCUCCA
rfam:Desulfotomaculum ruminis DSM 2154, complete genome.